UACAGAGGUCUCAAGCGUUGUUCGGAUUCAUUGGGCGUAAAGGGUGCGUAGGCGGCGAGGUAAGUCGGAUGUGAAAUCCCGGGGCUCAACCCCGGAACUGCAUUCGAUACUGCCUUGCUUGAGUACUGGAGAGGAGACUGGAAUUUACGGUGUAGCAGUGAAAUGCGUAGAUAUCGUAAGGAAGACCAGUGGCGAAGGCGAGUCUCUGGACAGUUCCUGACGCUGAGGCACGAAGGCCAGGGGAGCAAACGGG
rnacentral:rRNA from 1 species